rfam:Octopus bimaculoides Scaffold26915_contig_54, whole genome shotgun sequence.
GUGUGGCCAUGAUGGAAAUGUCAUGAUCUGUCAAUCCACUGAUUUUAUCAAGUUUGAUGAGAAUUUAUUUUGACGCUGAGCAC